CUUCAGUUGGGGGCCUUCAGUUGGGGGCCUUCAGUUAGUGCCUUUAAAGUUGGUUUCAUUCCGCUGGGAGAGUCAGCAGGUGCUGAGCCGUGCAGACCUGGAAGCAAGCAAAGACCCAAGGUGCCCAGGAACAGCAGAGGCUUCCCAUAAAAACCACGCUGACCUGUCACAUGUGGACCAAAGCCAGCCCCAAGCAGGGCGGGUGCUGGGGUUCUGCAGAGCCGUCCUGCUCUAACAUCUAUGAGUGGGCGGCCAGCAAAGGUGCAGCCCUAGCAGAGAGGAGUUACAGGCGCCCUGAACACGCUGUACCCCAAUGCCAGCCCCAGGCGUCCCCGGCUCAGGGUGAGGGGGGCGGAGCCGUUCUUCAGCUUCGAUUCAGAUCUACAAGAUGGAGAUGGCUCUAGUGCCUGACCCCGCUGCUUUGGAGCACCCUGGCCACCAGAAGAUGCCCAAAGGUGGCCGAAAACUAAGUUUACAAAAUACAGAAUGGAUGCUACAGAUUUCACUGCUGUAGAGAAAACGUCUGGCACCUUUCUUUUUUUUUUUUUUUUUUUUUUUUUUUUUUUUGAGACGGAGUUUCGCUCUUGUUACCCAGGCUGGAGUGCAAUGGCGCGAUCGCGGCUCACCGCAACCUCCGCCUCCUGGGUCCAGGCAAUUCUCCUGCCUCAGCCUCCUGAGUAGCUGGGAUUACAGGCACGCGCCACCAUGUCCAGCUAAUUUUUUGUAUUUUUACUAGAGACGGGGUUUCACCAUGUUGACCAGGAUGGUCUGAUCCCUUGACCUCGUGAUCCACCCGCCUCGGCAUCCCAAAGUACUGGGAUUACAGACGUGAGCCACCACGCCCGGCCUUGGCACCUCUUCUAUUUAAACUUAAGGAGCCACAGUGGAGCUGUUUUCCAAUGCCAGCCCCAAGCGGGGCCAGCUCAGGCUGAGGUGGGCGGAGCCAUCCUGAGGCUCUGCGAUCCAGGAGGUGGAGGUGAAGGUGGGAGCAGCGCCAGACACCUCUGCUUGGAGUCUGCCCAAUCUGAUGCGGGGAGCAGAAGACACCCAAAGGUAGGGAGGCCACAGAUACCGCUUGCUCUCAGGAGCUCCUCUGGCCAUUGCUGUCCCAAGUUUCCCCCCGGAGACAGCCACAGCCUGGGGCUCCUCCCUCCUGCUCCUGGUUCGCUUUACUAGGCCCAGGCCCCGAGCAAGAGAACUGACUCUAGGACUCACAAUUUCGUAUGUUCAAUUCUAGACCGGAGCUCUAUACUAAAGUAAUGUCAGAGGUUCUCUUCUUGUUUCUACUCAUGAAAAAUGGUUUUUUUUAUAGAGACAGGGUCUCACCGUGUUGCCCAGGCUGUUCUCAAACUCUUGGUCUCAAGUGAUUAACCCACCUUGGUCUCCCACAUUGCUGAGCUGACAAGCAAGAACCACCACACCUGGGCUUUGGAUAGGCUCCUGCUCUGUGUGUUUCAGCUGGUCUUCCUGCUCAGCUGUCAGGAAGAUGCUCCUGCAGCAUCGUUUCAAAUCUUUCUGCAAAAAUCCAGUGGAUCCUGUGAUUUAUUAGCAUAGAAUAGCCUAUUAUUUGUAGAAGAGAAGCUAAACAAUUCACAGUUAGUAACUUAUGGCCUAGAAAUUUUUAUUUCAUGAUCAACACAACUGUUUAUAGAUGCUUGUGGUCCAAAAAUGCAGAUUCCUAAUCAUCCCCAAGGAGAAGUGAUCCACUGAAAGACAACCUGGGAGGGAGUUUAGGAUUGUUCUGAGGCUGUGAAAACCAAUGAAAUUCACACGUAAGAGGGUAGAGAAAGGGAAUCUGCAUGUUUUGAUCCUACACGUGCUGGGUGUAACUUGGUCUUUGUAAAGUUGCACCACCUUUGAGGCAGGGAGGACUGGAUUUGAAUCCCAGUUCUAUCACUCAUUAUGACUUGAUGGUCAAUGUGCUUUUAACUCCUCUGAGCCUCAGUUUGCUCAUCUGUUAAAGGUGGGAUUGUUAUGAGGACUGCAUAAGGUAAGUGUGUAAAAAUCUGGGAAUGAUGCCUGUAAUUUAAAGACAAAGUUGUUAUGUGACUUCAAUAAGGUAAGUAAAAGUCUGUACACAGUGUCUUUAAUUUUGUGAUUGUUCAAUAUAUGGAGAAGGAUUAUUUUUCUUUAAUUUUUAAACAAGUUUAUCAAAUUGGUAUUAAAAAUAUUUUUGAGAUAAUCAAAGGAUCAGUAAGUUUAAAUCACCAUAGUCAGGAAGCAGUUCACAAUCUAUUUACUGAGUAAGUGCUAGUUAAAAGUAGAAAUGGGCCAGAUGCAGUAGCUCAGGCCUAUGAUCCCAGCACAUUGGGAGGCCAAGGUGGGCGGAUCACCUGAGAUCCGGAGUUCAAGACCAACCUGACAAACACGGGGAAACCCUGUCUCUAGGUGAUGGGGAGGAAGGCAGCAAAUCACACCGCCACGUGUGUACCUAUGCAGCAAUCUUGCAUGUUCUUCACAUGUACCCCAAAACCUAAAAUGCAAUUAAUAAAAAAGUUUGGGAAAAAAAAUAAAGAAAAUGGGAAAAAAUAAAGAUUAAUUCAAAACAAAACAAACAAAAAAAGAAACCCUGUCUCUACUAAAAACACAAAACUAGCUGAGUAUGGUGUCACAUGCAUGUCAUCUCAGCUCCUCGGGAGGCUGAGGCAGAGAAUUGCUUGAACACGGGAUGCGGAGGUUGCACUGAGUCAAGAUUGCGCCAUUGCUCUCCAGCCUGGCCAAGAAGAGUGAAAUUUCAUCUAAAAAUGUAAUGAUGAUCACAAUGAAAAUCUUGUAUUAUAUGGUGGUUUUCUCUUACCUAAGCCUCCUGAUUUGUCGAAACCAAAGAUUUGAAAUUGUUCUAUCAAAUUGACCAUUAGAAAAACAUGAUGUACUUAGUAUAUAAAUUUUACACAAUUUUCUCACUCUUAAUUUGCUUAAAUAUGUGCAUUUAAAAUUAAGAAUAUAAUUGUGAAUAUGUAUUAACAUAUUUCAUAUAUCGUAUCAAUUAUAUAUAUAUCAUAGAUCAAAAGAUCACAGAGUAAUCUCAGUUCGUGGCACUGUUUUUUCUGAAAGCACCUGCAGAAAUUUGCAUUCUGUGUAGUUUCCAGAAAACUCAGAGGCCGUGGGGUAUAAGGGUCUUUGAAAGUCAGGUUGUACAUGAGGUAAGUUAGGAUACAGAAAUUUCACCUGAAUUCAUAUUUAUUAUUCACAGUAAAGAAAGUUGCUACCAGCUACCAAUAAAUGAAAGGUGGGAUGGGGUAGUUGGAGGGGUGGGGCUUUGUGAGCCAGUGCCCAGACUCCCACCUCACAAAUAACAGGCCGACGCCUAGAGGGAACUCACAUCCUGAUUGGUUCUUCCUAAGCAGAACACGAUGUGGUUGGCAGGGCAACCGGCCUUCAUUAUUAGGUGGCUUUCAUUUAGGGCCUUCAGUGGGUGCCUUAAGUUGGUGCCAUUUGGUUGCCUUUCCUGGGGAGAGGCAGGAGGUGCUCAGCUCUGCAGAAAUGAGGACAAGCAGAGGCCCAAGCUGCCCCAGAAGAGCAGAGGGGCCCCAUGGGGACCAUGCUGCCCUGUGGCAAGUGCACUCAAGCCAGCCCCAGGCAGGGCCAGCACAGGGGUUCCGUGGAGCUGUUCUGUGACUUUGAUAUCAAUGAGCGGGCGGCCAGCAAUGGUGCAGGUCACAGCAGAGAGGAGCAGAAGCUUCUGAAACAUGCUGUCACCAGUGCCAGCCCCAAGCGUGGCCGGAUGGGGGUGCGGUGGGUGAAGUCAUCCUGAACUCUGAGAUCCAUGAGCCACUUCAUGGUGGAAGCAGCGCCAGACACCCAUGCUUGGAGCCUGCCAAAUCUGAUUCCGGUGUCCUGACCUGCAGCACAUUACAUUGGUGAUGCGACCAGAAGGCGUCCAAAGGUAGGGAGGCCGCAGAUACCACUUGGUCAGAUACCUCUGGCUGUUGCUGACCCAAGGUACCCCCCAGAGGCAUCCACAGCCCCAGGCUCCUCCCUCCUGCCCCUAGUUGGCUUUCCUAGGCCCAGGCUCUAGGCAGAAGGACUGGCUCUGCCUGGACUGCCCACCCCUUCGUCUUUCCCUGUUGCAUCCAGCCGGUUUCUUUUCUCCUCGCUUCCCAAAUGCCCACUUCUAGGCCCUCUUCGUCUUCUUCCCCUAGGCUGGUCAGAAACUAAAGUUUUCAGAAUACAAAAUGGAUGCUACAGAUUUCAGUGCUGUAGAGAAAAUGUCUGAAAGCUCUUCUAUUUAAACUUAAGUAGCCACAUUGGGACUCACAAUUUUAUAUCUUGAGUUCUAGACCAAAGUUCUCUAUUCUAAAGCAGUGGCAGUGGAUUGCAGGUACUCUUCCUGAUUCUAAUAAUAAAAAAUAAUCGUUUUUUUCUAGAGACAGGGUCUUACUGUGUUGCCCAGGCUGGUCUCAAACACCUGGCCUCUAGUGAUUCAUUCACCCUCUUUGGCCUCCCACAUUGCUGGGAUGACAGGCAAGAACUACCGCACCUGGCCUCUGGAGGCGCUCUCGCUUUGUGUGCCUCUGCAGGUCUUCCUGCACAGCUGUCAGUUACAUGGUCCUACAGCAGAGUCCACCCUUUCUGUCCAAGUUCAGUGGAUACUGUGAUUUUUUACAUGGAAUAGCCUUUUAUUUAUUGCAGAGAAGCUAGACAAUUCAAAGUAAGUAACCUGUGGCCUAGCAAAUUUCAUUUCUUGAUCAACACAGCUUUUAAAAAGUGUUUCUUUUGGUCUAAAUACGCAGAUUCCUAAUCAUCACCAAGAAAAAGGGAACCACUGCAAGGCAAACUGGGAGGAUGUUUAGGAUUGUUCUGAGGCGUGAACGCCACUGAAAUUCACACAUGAGGGUGUAGAAAAGGGAAUCCGUCUGUUUUGAUCCCUCUGUGUUCUGGGUAUAACUUGGUCCUCAUUAAAUUGUACCAUUCUUGGCAUCAGAGAAAACUGGAGAUGAAUCCCAGUUCCAUUCUUCAUUAUGAGGUCAUAAUGAAUGUGUUUCUAACUCAUCAGAGCCUCAGUUUGCUCAACUAUAAAAGAUGUGAUUUUUAUGAGGCCUCCAUAAGGUAAGUGUGUAAGAAUCAUGCCAAAGUGCUUAUAAUUCAAAAAGAGGGUUGUUAUGAGGCUGCUAUAAGGUAAGUGUGUAAAAGUGUGGACACAAUGCCUAUAAUUUUGUAAGUGUUCAACAUAUGGAGAAGAAGGAUUAUUUUUGUCUCAUUUAAUUUUUAGAGCAAGUUUAUAAAGUUGAUGAUACUCACAUUUUUGAGAUAAUCAAACCAAGGACCAGAAAGACCAAACAAAUCACCACAGUCACAAUGCAAUUCACAAUACAUUUACUGGGUAGAUUUUAGUUAAAAGUACCAAUGAUAAUCACAUUGAAAAUCUUGUAUUUUGUGGUGGUGUUCUCUUACAUAAACCUUUCAGUUUGUUGAAACUAUAAAUUCUAAGUUGCUCUAUCAAAGUGAUCAUUAGAAAUCUGAUGUACUUGGUGUGUACAGUUUAGAAGAUUGUAUAUUAUUUUCAAAAGUGUAAAACGAAUAUAUGUGAAUUGGAUGUAUAUAUACAUAUAUAUGAAAUGUGACUUGACAUUAUAGAAUAGGCAUACCUCAUGGCAAGGCUUUUAUCUGAAAGCCUGUGCAGAAAUCUGUCUUUUUUUUUUGUUUCGAAAAAUCUCAGAGCUUAUGGGGGAAAGGGGGUUCUAGGAAUCCCAGCUAGUGCAUGAGGCAGAUUUGAUUUCAGUAAUUUUAACAUCAUUCAUUGUAAGAUGAUGAUCGCUAGGAACAUCAUCACAGUGAGAAAUCUGAAAUCUCCUAGCAGCCAGCAAUGAAUGAAAGGUGGGGUGGGGCUGCUGGCAGGGUGGGGACAAUGGCAGGGUGGGGCCUUGGAGCCAUGUGCCUGUGCUCUCAUGUUCCAAGUUUAGGGACAGGCAUGCAGGGGACUCUGGGCCUGAUUGUUUCCUCUUCACCAGGAUGCAGUCUGAAUGGCAGGGCAACUGGCCUUCACCUGGUGACGUUAACUGAGUGCCCCCAUUGGUUGCCUUGGGUUGGUAAUCUCACCUGGUUGUCUUCAGGUGGUGGCCUUGAGUUGUUGGGCAGCGGUGGAAGGAGCUCCAUUGAUGUUCUCUCCUCCCGCAGUCACAGCUCUCAGCUCUAAGUCACAGCAUCCAGGCCCAUUCUGAAUAAACCAGGCAGGGUGGUGGCUGUUGCAGAUAAGUCAGCUCAGGGUGACCAGGUGAGGGAGGGUGAGGCUGUUAGUGGUGUGCAGCUCCAUGGCCUGGGUGCUGCCUGUGUCAGCCAUGCCUAUGCUGAGAAGAGGUGGCAGGUGCUGAGCUCUGCAGACGUGGCUGCAGUGAAGGCCCAAGCUGCCUGACAUGCUGAUCUGCCCCUUGUGGAUCACACUGACCACAUGCACCAAACACAGCCCGAGGCAUGGCCGGGCAGGGAUUCUGUGGAGCCAUUCUGGGCUCUGACAUCUAUGAGUGGGUGCCUAACAGAGACACAGUCCCAGCAGAGAGGAGCAGAGGUGCCCAGAACAACCUGUACCCCAAUGCCAGCCCCAAGCAUGGCAAGCUCAGGGUGCAGUGGGAAGAGACGUCCUGACACUCUAAGAUCUACCACACAGAGGUGGCAGUACGCCAGACCUCACUGCUGUGGAGCCUGCAUGGUUGGAUUUGGGAGCCGGAGAGCGUCCUGACUUGCAGCACAUUGGCGACCAGAAGACACCCAAAGGUAGGAAGGCAACAGACACUGCUUGGCCUCAGGAGCUCCUCUGGCAAUUGUUCACCCAAGGUUGCACCUGGAGGCAUCCACAGUAUGGGGCUCCCCCCUCCUUCCCCUAGUUAGCUUUCUUAGGCUCAGGCCACAAGCAAAAGGACUGGGUCUGCCUUGCCUUCCCAGCUUAUCUUGGUUCCCUGCUGGGUCCAUCCAGUUUCCUUCCUCCUUCCUACCCCAAUGCUGAGUUCUGGGACCUCUUCUGCUUCCCCCAGGCUGGCCAGAAACUAAGUUUCCAAACUACAAAAUGAAUGCUACAGAUUUCAUUGCUGUAGAGAAAAUGUCUAACGUUUCUUUUAUUUAGACUUAAAUAGCCCUAUUGGGACUCACAAUUUGAUAUCUUGAUUUCUGGACUAGAGCUCUCUGUCUUCAAGCAAUGUCAGAGGGUCAGAAGUAUGUCCUCUUAAUUCUAAUCAUUAAAAAAAAUUUUUGCGGGGGGAGAGGCAGGGUGUCACCUUGUUCCCCAGGCUGGUCUCUAACUCCUGGUGUCAAGUGAUCCACCCACCUUCCCUUCCCACAUUGCUGGGCUGACAGGCAAGAACCACCACACCUGGACUUCGGAGGUGCUCUUGCUUUGCGAGUUUCCACUGCUCCUCCUACCCAACUGUCAGUGAGAUGCUCCUGAGACAUCAUUCCAAAGUUUUCUAGACAAAUUCAGUGAAUCCUGUGAUAUUUUACAUGUAAUAAUACCUUUGCUUAUUGCAGAUAAGCUAGACAAUUCACAGUAACCUAGGUCCUAGAAAUUUUCAUAUCUAUUUUUUUUUUUUAGAUAAAAUUUUGCUCUUGUUGCCCAGGCUGGUGGGCAAUGACAGCAUCUUAGGUCAUUGCAACCUCUGCCUCCUGGGUUCAAGUGUUUCUCCUGCUUUAGCCUUCUGAGUAGCUGGGAUUAGAGGCAUUCACCACACACUCAGCUAAUUUUGUCCUUUUUAGUAGAGAUGGAGUUGCACCAUGUUGGUCAGGCUUGUCUCGAACUCCUGACCUCAGGACAUCUGCGCACCCUGGCUUCCUAAAGUACAGGUGAGAGUCACCAUCAUCCCUGGCCAAAAGUUUCAUUUCUUGAUCAACAAACCUGUUUCUAAGGAGAUGCUUGUAGUCUAAAUAUGCAGAUUCCUAGUCAUUUGUAAGCCGAAGGGAACCACGGCAAGGCAACCUGGGAGGGAGUUUAGGUUAGUUCUGAGGCCAUGAAAGCCAUUCAGAUUCACACAUAAGAGAGAAGAGAAAGGGCAUCCACAUGUUUUGACUGCCUCCACUUGCUCAGUAUAACUUGGUCUUGGUUAUGUUGCACUGCCUUUGGCGUCAGAGAGAACGGGAUUUGAAUCCCAGUUCCAUCACUCAUUAGGACGUGAUGAUGAAUGUGUUUUUAACUCCUCUGAACCUCAGUUUGCUCAUCUAUUAAAGAUGGGAUUAUUAUGAGCCUUCCAUAAUAUUAGGGUGUAAAAAUUGGUGUGGACACAAUGCCUGUAAUUUAAAGAAUAGGGUUUUUUAAGGCUUCAAUAAGGUAAGUGUGUAAAAAUCUGGACACAAUGUCUAUAAUUUUGUAAGUCUUCAUUCUAUAGAGAAGGAGAAUUUUUUUUUUAAUUUUUAGAGCAAGUUUAUAAAAACUGGUGUUACUCAUAUUUUUGACAUGAUCAAACCAAGGAUCUGAAAAAUUCAAUGAGUCACUAGAGUCACAAAGCAGUUCACAAUACAUCUACUGGGUAAUUGCCUGUGGAAACUAGCAAUGCUGAUUACAUUGAGUCACUAUGGUUACAGUGCAGUUCACAGUACAUUUACCGGGUCAUUCAAAGUAGCAAAGGUGAUCACAUUUAAACACUAGUAUUAAGAGAAUGCUUUUCUCUUACAUAAGCCUCCUUGGCUGUUGAAGCCAUCGAUUCUAAGUUGAUGUAUCAAAGUGAUCAUUGGGAAACUGUGAUAUAUUAGUGUAUAAAUUUUAGAAAAUGUCCUCAAUUACUCUUACUAAUUUGAUUGAAUAUGUGUUAUUUUCAAAAUUAUGAAUGGAAUAUGUAUGGAUUGAAUGCAUAUGUAUAUAUCUAUAUGAAAUAUAAUUAGACAUCACACAGUAGACUAAGCUCAUGGCAAUUUUGUUUCUGAAAGUACCAGCAGAAAUCUGUCAUUUUUGUAGUUUGUAAAAAACUCAGAGGUUAUGGGGUAAAGGAGAUUCUAUGAAUUCCAGCUAGUGCAAGAGCCAGAUUUGGCUUCAGGAAUUUUAGCAUAAUUCAUUGUAAGGUGAUAAACCUUAGGAACUUCAAGACAGUGAGAAACCUGAAAGCUCUUAGCAGCCAGGAAUGAAUGAAAGGUUGGAUGCGGUGGCUGGCAGGGUGGGGCCUUGUGAGCCACGUGCCUGGUCUCUCAAGUUCCAAGUUGGCAGGGACACAUGGAGGGGACACUGGGCCUGAUUGUGUCCUCUUAACCAGUAUAUGGCCUGGUUGGCAGGGCAACCCACCUUCACCUGGUGGCCUUCAGAGGGUGCCUUCAUUGGCUACCUUUGUUUAGUGCCCUCAGUUGGUGCUCUUCAGUUGUUGGUCUUCAGUUGGUUUGGCAGUGGUGGAAGGAGAGGAGCUCCAUCUGUGCUCUCUCCUCCUAAAGUCACAGUUCUCAGGCUUGUUGCACCUAGGCACACUCUAAAUAAACCAGGCAGGUUUGCAACUUUUACAGACAAGUCAACUCAAGGUAGGUGGGUGAGGUAAGGUGCGAGAUGCUAGUGGAAGGCAGCACUAUGGCCAGAGUUGCAGCACAUUGGCGACAAGAAGACAACAAAAGGUAGGGAGGCAACGAAUACUGCUUGGCUCAUCUGUAUGUUAUGUUAUGCUCAUCUAUAAAAGAUUGGAUACAGCAGGAGCUCCUCAGGCCACUGCUGACUCAAGGUUCCCCCCAAAGACAUCCACAGCCUGGGGCUCUUCCUCCUGACCCUAGUUAGCUUUCCCAGCCCCAGGCCCCAAGCAGGAGGACUGGCUCUGCCUCGAGUCCCCACCCAUUCUUCUUUCUUCCUAUCCCAAUGCCCAGUUCAGUUUCCUCUUCAUCUUGCCCCAAGCUGCCUGAAUGCUAAGUUUUCAAAAUUUAAAAAUGUAAGCUACAAAUGUCAUUGCUAUAGAGAAAAUGUCUGAAAGCUUUUCUAGUUCAACUUAAGUAGCAACUGUGAGACUUACAAUUUCAUAUCUUGAAUUCCAGACCAUGCCCCUAUAUCAUAAAGCAAUGUUAGAGGCACUCAUCUUGAUUCUAAUCAUAUAAAAAAAAAUUUUGUAGAGACAGAUUCUCACUGUGUUGCCCAGGCUAGUCUCAAACUCCUGGCCUCAAGUGAAUCACAUUGCUACGGUGACAGGCAAGAACCACCACCCCUGGCCCUUGGAGGUGCUCUUUGUGUGUAUAGUCUGGUCUUCCUGCACAGCUGUCAGUAAGGUGCUGCUGCAGCAUAGUUCUAAAUCUUUCUGCAAAUUCAGUGGAUCCUGGAUGUUUUUUACGUGGAAUAGCCCUGUGUUUUAUAGAAAGGCUAGACACUUCACAGUUAGUAACCUAGGGCUUAGAAAAUUUUAUUUCAUGAUCAACACAUCUCUUGGCCUAGAAAUUGUCUUUUCUUAAUCAAAGCACCUGUUUAUAAGGAGCUAAAUAUGUGGUCUAAAUAUGCAGCUUAGUAAUCAUCCCCAGGAAGAAGGGAACCACUGCAAGGCAACCUGGGAGGGAGUUUAGGAUUGUUCUGAGGCCAUAAAAAACCAUGAAACUCACAAAAAAAAAAAGGGUAGAGAAACGGAACCCACAUGUUUUCACUCCCUCCAUCUGCUGGGCACAAUUAAUCUUUGUUAUGUUGCACAACUUUGGUGUCAGAAGGAACUGGAUUUGAGUCCCAAUUCCAUCACUCAUUAUGACAUGGUAGGGAAUGUGUUUCUAACUCCAGUGAGCCUCAGUUUGCUCAUCUAUAAAGGAUGGGAGUGUUAUAUACCUUCCAUAAGGUAUGUGUGUAAAAAUCUGGCCAUAAUGCCUGUAAUUUAAAACAUGAGGUUGUUCUGGGGCUUCCAUAAGGUAAGCGUGUAAAAUCUGGGCAUAAUAAAUGUAAUUUAAAACAUGCGGUUGUUAUGUGGCUUUGUAAGACAAAUACAUAAAAAUCUGGAUACGACGUCUAUAAAUUUGUAAGUGUUCAAUAUAUGCAGAAGGAGAAUUAUUUUUCUCUCUAAUUUUUAGAACAAGUUUAUAAAAUUGUUGUUGUAUUUUGAGGUUAAUCAAACUAAGAAUCAGAGAGAUUAAAUAUGUCACCAUAGUCACAAAGCAGUUCACAAUACAUACUGGGUAAUUGUUAUUUAUUACAGCAAUGAGGAUCACAUUUAAAAUACUGUAUUAUGUGGUGGUUUUCUCUUCCAUAAGCCUCUUUCUUUGUUGAAACCAUGAAGUUUAAGUUGUUCUAUGAAAGUGAUCAAUAGAAAAUUGUGAUGAAGCUUAGUGUAUAAAUUUUAGAAAAUUUCUUCUACUAGUCUUGUUAAUUUGCUUGAAUGUAUGUGUCAUUUUCAAAAAACAGAAGUUGAACAUAUAUGUAUUGAAUACAUUUGUGCAUAUGUAUGUGUUUAAAACUUUACAUUACAGGGUAGGCUUAAGUCAUAGCAAAGUUUUUUUUCUGAAAGCACAUGCAGAAAUCUAUCAUUUUUCUAGUUUCUAUGAAGCUCAGAGGUUAUGGGGGAAAGGGGGUUCUAUGAAUCCAAGACACUGCAUGAGGCAGAUUUGGUUUCAGUAAUUGUAGCAUCAUUCAUUAUAAGGUGAUGAUCCCUAGGAACCUCAGCACAGUGAGACACCCAAAACCUCCCAGUAGCCAGCAAUGAAUGAAAGGUGGGGUGGAGCCUAUGGCAGGGCAAGGCCUAAGAGCCAUGUGCCUGUGCUCUCAAGUUCCAAGUGUAGGGGGAGGCAUGCAGCAGACUCUGGGCCUGAUUGUUUCCUCUUAACCAGGAUGCAGUCUGGAUGGCAGGGCAACUGGCCUUCACCUGGUGGCCUUCACUGGGUACCCUCAUUGGUUGCCUUGGCUUGGCACCCUCAGCUGCUGGUCUUCAAUUGGUGGCCUUGAGUUGUUGGGCAGCAGCAGAAGGAGCUCCACCGAUGUUCUUUCCUCCUGCAGUCACAGCACUCAGGCUUGUCGCAUCCAGGCCCAUUCUGAAUAAACCAGGCAGGGUGGUGGCUGUUGCAGAUUAGUCGGUUCAGCGUGAGCAGGUGAGAUGGGGAGGGCUGCUAGUGACAUGCAGCUCCAUGGCCUGCUGCUACCUGUGCCAGCCAUGCCUAUGCUGGGAAGAGGUGGCAGGCACUGAGGUCUGCAGAUGUGGGGGCCAGUGAAGGCCCAAGCUGCCUGAGAUGUGCUGAGAUGCCCUUUGUGGAUCACACUGACCACAUGCACCAAAUUCUGUGGAGCCAUUCUGGCCUCUGAUAUCUAUUAGUGGGUACCCAACAAAGGUACAGUCCCAGCAGAGAGGAGCAGGGGUGCCCAGAACAACCUGUACCCCAGUUCCAGCCCCAAAUGGGGGCAAAACUCAGGGUGUAGUAGGAAGAGACGUCCUGACACUCUGAGAUCUACCACGUGGAGGUGGCAGUACGCCAGACCUCACUGCUUUGGAGCCUGCACGGUUGGAUUUGGGAGCCGGAGAGCAUCCUGACUUGCAGCACAUUGGUGACCAGAAGACAUCCAAAGGUAGGGAGGCGACAGACACUGCUUGGACUCAGGAGCUUCUCUGGCCAUUGCUGACCCAAGGUUGCACCUGGAGGCAUCCACAGCAUGGGGCUCCUCCCUCCUUCCCCUAGUUAGCUUUCUUAGGCUCAGGCCACAAGCAAAAGGACUGGGUCUGCCUUGCCUUCCCAGCUUAUCUUGGUUCCCUGCUGGGUCCAUCCAGUUUUCUUCCUCCUUCCUACCCCAAUGCUGAGUUCUGGGACCUCUUCUGCUCCCCCACGUUGGCCAGAAACUAAGUUUCCAAACUGCAAAAUGCUACAGAUUUCGUUGCUAUAGAGGAAAUGUCUAACAUUUCUUCUAUUUAAACUUAAAUAGCCCUAUUGGGUCUCACAAUUUCAUAUCUUGAUUUCUGGACUAGAGCUCUGUAUUCUAAAGCAAGGACAGAGGGUCAAAAGUACUCUUCUUGAUUCUAAUCAUUAAAAAAUUGUUUGUAGAGGCAGGGUCUCACUGUGUUCCCCAGGCUGGUGACUCCUGGUGUCAAGUGAUCCACCUGCCUUGGAUUUUCACAUUGCUGAGCAGAUAGGCAAAACCAGCACACCUGGACUUUGGAGGUGCUCUUGCUUUGCGUGUUUCCACUGCUCCUCCUGCCCAGCUGUCAGUAAGAUGCUCCUACAGCAUCGUUCCAAAUCUUUCUUCACAAAUUCAGUGGAUCCUGUUAUGUGUUACAAGUAAUGUCACCUUGGCUAAUUGCAGAUAAACGAGACAAUUCACAGUUAGUAACCUAGGCCAUAGAAAUUUUUAUAUCUUUUUUGAGAUAAAAUUUUGCUCUUAUUCUCCAGGCUGGAGUGUAAUGAGACAAUCUUAGGUUGUUGCAACCUCUGCCUCCUGGGUUCAAGCAAUUUUCCUACCUUAGCCUUCUGAGUAGCUGGAAUUAGAGGCAUUUGCCAGACUCUUGGCUAAUUUUGUCCUUUUUAGUAGAGAUGGAGUUUCACCAUGUUGGUCAGGCUUGUCUCAAACUCCUGGCCUCAGGACAUCUGCCCACCCUGACUUCCCAAAGUUCAGGCGAGAGCCACCAUUCCUGGCAAAAAGUUUCACUUCUCCAUCAUUAAGCCUGUUUCUAAGGAGAUGCUUGUAGUCUAAAUAUGCAGAUUCCUAGUCAUUUCCAAGAGAAAGGGAACCACUGCAAGGCAACCUGGGAGGGAGUUUAGGAUGGUUCUGAGGCCAUGAAAGCCAUUCAAAUUCACACAUAAGAGGGUAGAGAAAGGGAAUCCACAUGUUCUGACUGCCUCCAUGUCCUGAGUAUAACUUGGUCAUUGUGAAGUUGCAGUACCUAUGGCGUCAGGGAGAACUGGAUUUGAAUCCCAGUUCAUCACUCAUUAGCACGUGAUGCUGACUGUGUUUUUAACUACUCUGACCUUCAUUGUACUCAUCUAUAAAAGAUGGGAUUAUUUUGAGGCUUCCAUAAUAUAAGUGUGUAAAAAUUGGUGUGAGCAAAAUGACUGUAAUUUAAAGGAUAGGGUUGUUUUAAGGCUUCAAUAAGGUAAGUGUGUAAAAAUCAGGGCACAAUGCCUAUGAUUUUGAAAGUCUUAUAUACAGAAGGAGGAUUAUUUUUCUCUCAUUUAAUUUUUAGAGCAAGUUUAUAAAGCUGGUGUUACUCAUAUUUUUGACAUGAUCAAACCAACAAUCUGAAAGAUUCUAUGAGUCACUACAGUCACAAAGCAGUUCACAAUACAUCUACUGGGUAAUUGCCUGUUGAAACUAGCAAUGGUGAUCACAUUUAAAAUCUUGUAUUAACAGAAUGCUUUUCCCUUACAUAAGCCUCUUUGUUUUUGAAGCCAUAGAUUCUAAGUUGAUGUAUCAAAGUGAUCAUUGGGAAACUGUAAUAUAUUAGUGUACAAAUUUUAAAAAAUGUCCUCUAUUACUCUUAUUAAUUUGAUUGAAUAUGUGUUAUUUUCAAAAUUGUAAAUGGAAUAUGUAUGGAUUGAAUGCAUAUGUAUAUAUACAUAAAAUAUAAUUAGACAUCAAGGAGUAGACUUAGCUCAUGACAAUUUUUUUUCUGAAAGCACCUGCAGAAAUCUGUCAUUUUUGUAGUUUGUAAAAAACUCAGAGGUUAUGGGGUAAAGGAGGUUCUAUGAAUUCCAGCUAGUGCAAGAGCCAGAUUUGGCUUCAGGAAUUUUAGCAUAAUUCAUUGUAAGGUGAUAAACCCUAGGAACUUCAAGACAGUGAGAAACCUGAAAGCUCUUAGCCAGGAAUGAAUGAAAGGUGGGAUGCGGUGGCUGGCAGGGCGGGACCUUGUGAGCCACAUGCCUGGUAUCUCAAGUUCCAAGUUGGCAGGGACACAUGGAGGGGACACUGGGCCUGAUUGUGUCCUCUUAACCAGUAUAUGGCCUGGUUGGCAGGGCAACCCACCUUCACCUGGUGGCCUUCAGAGGGUGCCUUCAUUGGCUACCUUUGUUUAGUGCCCUCAGUUGGUGCUCUUCAGUUGUUGGUCUUCAGUUGGUUUGGCAGUGGUGGAAGGAGAAGGAGCUCCAUCUGUGCUCUUUCCUCCUAAAGUCACAGUUCUCAGGCUUGUUGCACCUAGGCCCACUCUGAGUAAACCAGGCAGGUUUGCAACUUUUACAGACAAGUCAACUCAAGGUAGGUGGGUGAGGUAAGCUGCGAGCUCUAGUGAGAUGCAGCCCUUUGGCCAGGGUUGCCCGUGCCAGUAUGACUUCGCUGGGAAGAGGCGGCAUGUUCUGAGCUCUGCAGACAUAGAAGCAAGUGAAGGCCCAAGCUGCCUGGGAAGAGCAGAGUUGCCCCAAGGGGACCAUGCUUAAGUAUCUCAUGUGCACCAAAGGCAGCACCAGGCAGGGCUGAAGUAGGGGUUCUAAGAAGCCAUCUAUGGGUGAAUGGCCAGAAAAGGCAGAGACACCAGAAGAGAGGAGCAGAGGAUCCCAAAACAUGCUGCCCCACAAUGCCAGACCCAGGCAGGGCCAGCUCAGAGUGUGGUGAACAGAACCAUCCUGAUGUUCCAAGAUCUAUGAGGUGGAGGUGGCCAGAGCUCCUGACCCGACUGCUUUGCGGCCUGCUGAGUUGGGUUUGGGAGCUGGCCAGGGUCCUGACUUGCAGCACAUUGGCGACAAGAAGAUGACCAAAGGUAGGGAGGCAACGAAUACUGCUUGUCUCAUCUAUAUGUUAUGUUAUGCUCAUCUAUAAAAGAUUGGAUACAGCAGGAGCUCCUCAGGCCACUGCUGACUCAAGGUUCCCCCCAAAGACAUCCACAGCCUGGGGCUCUUCCUCCUGCCCCUAGUUAGCUUUCCCAGCCCCAGGACUCAAGCAGGAGGACUGGCUCUGCCUCAAGUCCCCACCCAUUCUUCUUUCUUCCUAUCCCAAUGCCCAGUUCAGUUUCCUCUUCAUCUUGCCCCAGGCUGCCUGAAAACUGGGUUUUCAAAAUACAAAAUGUAAGCUAUAGAUUUCAUUGCUGUAGAGAAAGUCUCUGACAGCUUUUCUAGUUAAACUUAAGUGUCACGGUGAGACUCAAAAUUUCGUGUCUUGAAUUCUACACCAGACCUCUUUAUGAUAAAGCAAUGUUAGAGGCACUCUUCUUGAUUCCAAUCAUAUAAAACGAUUUUUUGUAGAGACAGGGUCUCACUUUGUUGCCCAGACUAGUCUCCAACUCCUGGCCUCAAGUGAUCCAUCCACCUUGGCCUCUCAUAUUGCUAGGGUGACAGGCAGGAGCCACCACACCUGGCCUUUGGAGGUGCUCUUGCUUUCUGUGUUUCGGCUGGUCUUCCUGCACAGCUGUCAGGAAGAUGCUCCUGCAGCAUAGUUCUAAAUCUUUCUGCACAAAUUCCGUGGAUCCUGUGAUUUUUUACGUGGAAUAGCAAUGUAUAUUUUAGAAAAGCUAGACAAUUCACAGUAACCUGGGGCCUAGAAAAUUUUAUUUCAUGAUCAACACAUCUCUUGGCCUAAAAAAAUGGUUUUCUUCAUCAAAGCACCUGUUUAUAAGGAGCUAAAUAUGUGGUCCCCCAAAAAAGGGGCCACUGCAGGGGAACCUAGGAGGGAGUUUAGGAUUGUUCUGAGGCCAUAAAAACCAAUGAAAUUCACACAUGAAAGGGUGGAGAAAGGGAACCCACGUGUUGUGACUCCCUCCAUAUGCUGGGUACAACUCAGUCUCUGUUACGUUGCAUCACCUUUGCUGUCAGACAGAAUGGAAUUUGCAUCCGGUUUCCAUCACUCAUUAUGAUGUGGUGGGGAAUGUGUUUUUAACUUGGUUGAGGCUCAGUCUGCUCAUCAAUAAAAGAUGGGAGUGUUAUGUGAUUUCCAUAAGGUACAUGUGUAAUAAUCUGGCCAUAAUGACUGUAACUUAAAAGAUGAAGUUGUUAUGUGGCCUCCAUAAGAUAACUCUGUAAAAAUCUGGCCAUAAUGACUAUAAUUUAAAACAUGAAGCUGUUACAUGGCCUUCAUAAGGUAAAUGUUUAAAAAUCUAGGCAUAAUGCCUAUAAUUUAAAAGAUGAGGUUGUUAUGUGAUCUCCAUAAGGCAAGUGUGUAAAAAUCUGUGCAUAUUGUCUGUAAUUUAAAACAUGGGGUUGUUAUGUGACCUCCAUAAGGUAAGUGUGUAAAAACCUGACCAUAAUGACUGUAAUUUAAAAUAUGAAGCUGGGGCUUCCAUAAGGUAAGUGUGGAAAAAUCUGACCAUAAUGAGUGUAAUUUAAAAUACGAAGCUGUUACAAGGCUUCCAUAAGGUAAGUGUGUAAAAAUCUGGGCAUAUUGUCUGUAAUUUAAAGCAUGGGGUUGUUAUGUGGCUUCCUUAAGGUAAGUGUGUAAAAAUCUGACCAUAAUGACUGUAAUUUAAAAUACAAAGCUGUGGCUUCCAUAAGGUAAGUGUGUAAAAAUCUGGGCAUAUUGUCUGUAAUUUAAAACAUGGGGUUUUAUUGGCUUCCUUAAGGUAAGUGUGUAAAAAUCUGACCAUAAUGACUGUAAUUUAAAAUACAAAGCUGUGGCUUCCAUAAGGUAAGUGUGUAAAAAUCUGGGCAUAUCGUCUGUGAUUUAAAACAUGGGGUUGUUAUUGGCUUCCUUAAGGUAAGUGUGUAAAAAUCUUACCAUAAUGACUGUAAUUUAAAAUACGAAGAUGUGGCCUCCAUAAGGUAAGUGUGUAAAAAUCUGGGCAUAUUGUCUGUGAUUUAAAACAUGGGGUUGUUAUUGGCUUCCUUAAGGUAAGUGUGUAAAAAUCUGACCAUAAUGACUGUAAUUUAAAAUACGAAGAUGUGGUCUCCAUAAGGUAAGUGUGUAAAAAUCUGGGCAUAUUGUCUGUGAUUUAAAACAUGGGGUUGUUAUGUGGCUUCCUUAAGGUAAGUGUGUAAAAAUCUGACCAUAAUGACUGUAAUUUAAAAUACGAAGAUGUGGCCUCCAUAAGGUAAGUGUGUAAAAAUCUGGGCAUAUUGUCUGUAGUUUAAAACAUGGGGUUGUUAUUGGCUUCCUUAAGGUAAGUGUGUAAAAAUCUGACCAUAAUGACUGUAAUUUAAAAUACAAAGCUGUGGCUGCCAUAAGGUAAGUGUGUAAAAAUCUGGACAUACUGUCUGUAAUUUAAAACAUGGGGUUGUUAUGUGGCUUCUUUAAGGUAAGUGUGUAAAAAUAUGGCCAUAAUAACUGUAAUUUAAAAUACGAAGAUUUUACAUGGCUUCCAUAAGGUAAGUGUGUAAAAAUAUGGCCAUAAUAAGUGUAAUAUGAAGAUUUUACAUGGCUUCUAUAAGGUAAGUAUGUAAAAAUCUGGGCAUAAUGCAUUUAAUUUAAAAGAUGAGGUUGUUAUGUGGCUUCCAUAAGGUAAGUGUGUGAAAAUCUAAACACGAUGCCUGUAAGUUUGUAAGUGUUCAAUAUAUAGAGAAGGAGGAUUCUUUUUCUCUAAUUUUUAGAGCAAGUUUAUAAAAUUGGUGUUAUAUUUUGUAGAUAAUCAAACCAAGAGUCAGAGAGAAUAAGUAAGUCAGCAUAGUCACAAAGCAGUUCACAAUACAUGCUGGGUAAUUUUUAUUUAUUAGUAGCAAUGAGGAUCACAUUUAAAAUACUGUAUUACUGGGUGGUUUUCUCUUCCAUAAGCCUCUUUCUUUGUUGAAACCAUAAAGUUGCUCUAUGAAAGUGAACAUUAGAAAACUGUGAUGAACUUAGUGUAUAAAUUUUAGGAAAUUUUCUCUAUUAGUCUUGUUAAUUAGGUUGAAUAUGUGUGUUAUUUUCAAAAAAGGUAAACUGAAUAUAUAUGUAUUGAAUAUAUACAACAUUUCACAUUGUAGUGUAGCCUUAAGUCAUGGCAAUGUGUUUUUCUGAAAGCACAUGCAGAAAUCUGUCAUUUUUCUAGUUUCUAUAAAGCUCAGAGGUAAUGGGGGAAAGGAGAUUCUACAAAUCCCAGCUAGUGCAUGAGGCGGAUUUGGUUUCAGUAAUUUUAACAUCAUUCAUUGUAAGGUAAUGAUCUUUAGGUACGUCAGCACAGUGAGAAAUCUGAAAGCUCCCAGCAGCCAGCAAUGAGUGAAAGGUGGGGCGGGGCCUGGUGAGCCUUGUACCUACUCCCUCAAGUUCCGAGUCUGGGGGGAAGUGUGGAGGUGCCCUGGGCCUGAUUGUUUCCUCUUAAGCAGGAUGUGGUCUGGUUGGCAGGUCAACCAGCAUUCACCUGGUGGCCUUCAGUGGCUGCCCUCAUUGGGUGCCUUUGUUUUGUGCCCUCAUUUGGGGGUCUUCAGUGGGGGACCUUUAGUUCAUGGGUGGUGGCAGAGGUUGAGGAGCUCCUCUGUGCUCUCUCCUCCCGCAGUCAUAGCUGUCAGGUUUGGUGCAUUCAGGCCCAUUCUAAAUCAACCAGGCAGGUUCUGACUGCUGCAGGAAGUCAGUUCAGGGUGGGCAGGUGAGGCAUGGUGCAGGCUGUAAGUAGGGUACAGCCCCAUGGUCCAGGGCUGUCCAUGCCAGCCAUGCCUUGCCAGGAAGAGUCAGUAGGUGUGGAGCUCUGCAGACAUAUGGGCAGGCAGCGGCCCAAACACCCAAGAAAAUCAGAGUUGCCCCAUGGGGACCACACUGACCUGUUGCAUGUGCACCAAAGUCAACCCCGGGCAGAGCCCCACAGGGGUUCUGUAGAGCCAUCCUGGAGCUCAGACAUCUGAGUGGAAAGCCAGCAAAGGCACAGACCCCAGCAGAAAGGAGCAGAAGUGCCUGGAACACACUGUACCCCAAUGCCAGCCCCAAGCGGGACCAGCUCAGGGUGACGUGAAGGGAGAAGACCUGCAGCUCUGAGAUUUACGAGGUGGAAGUGACAGUAGCACCAGACCCCACUGCUUUGGAGCCUGCCCAGUCGGAUUUGGGAGCCAGUGAGGGUCGUGACUUGCGGCACAUUGUCGACCAGAAGACAACCAAAGGGAGAGGAGCUGAAGACCUUCUGGCCUGGGCUGGGCAGCAGUUCAGUUGCAGGAUAAACAGCCUGAGUCCUCUGCGGGAUGCUUUGUAAAGAACCCAAGAAAUCAACGUAGAGCUUCUUCUAGAUGAUUCUCUCGCAGCUGUAAACCUUCCAUGAGUCAAGCUUUGUGUCAAAAGGACAAAUUA